GCUGGUGUAGUAGGUGGAACAUCUCGGCGUUGUGUAGGAACAACACUCGGUCGAUCCUCACCUUUCAUCUUCGAACAUGGAAACAAGUAGAUCAAAUCAAAGAUGAAGGUACAUUUGUACCUGUAGUAGAGUCAAAUAUCCGGCCAUUUGCUUCGGGAACCCUGUCUCGUAUCUCCAAGCUACUCAUAUAAAUAGGUGAGUGCAGCAACGUCCCA
rnacentral:lncRNA from 1 species